rnacentral:rRNA from 1 species
GGACGAAAGUCUGACGGAGCAACGCCGCGUGAGUGAGGAAGGCCUUCGGGUCGUAAAGCUCUGUUGUGAGGGAAGAAGCGGUACCGUUCGAAUAGGGCGGUACCUUGACGGUACCUCACCAGAAAGCCACGGCUAACUACGUGCCAGCAGCCGCGGUAAUACGUAGGUGGCAAGCGUUGUCCGGAAUUAUUGGGCGUAAAGCGCGCGCAGGCGGCUUCUUAAGUCUGAUGUGAAAUCUCGGGGCUCAACCCCGAGCGGCCAUUGGAAACUGGGGAGCUUGAGUGCAGAAGAGGAGAGUGGAAUUCCACGUGUAGCGGUGAAAUGCGUAGAGAUGUGGAGGAACACCAGUGGCGAAGGCGACUCUCUGGUCUGUAACUGACGCUGAGGCGCGAAAGCGUGGGGAGCAAACAGGAUUAGAUACCCUGGUAGUCCACGCCGUAAACGAUGAGUGCUAGGUGUUAGGGGUUUCGAUGCCCGUAGUGCCGAA